GUAAUUUUGUGUUUUUAUUUCCAGAGGGAACGAAUCCACGAACGCUGCAAGACGAUCUGUCCCAACAAAGACGACGUGGACGCCGUCUCCAGUGUCUCCACCAAUCAUGACAAAUCCCGAGCUGAACUGGAACAAGUCCCGAAGAUCUUCAUGAAGCCGGACUUUGCCCUGGAGGACCCGGCCACCUUCAACGCCGUGUUGCCCUGGUCGCACUUCAACAGCGCCGGGGGCAAGACCAGCAGGGACCUGGCCUCGUCCAAGCUGCUGCAGGAGAAGGUGAACGCGCUGCACCAGACACGGAUCACACAUCACUGGGGCUGUCAGCCAAUAUUCUAUAUUCAAAUA